GUGCUUGCUUCAGCAGCACAUAUACCAAGAUUGGAAUGAUACAGAGAUUAGCAUGGCCCCUGCACAAGGAUGACAUGCAAAUUUGUGAAACUCAUGUGCAUGUACAGUAUCUUU
rfam:Tupaia chinensis contig66255, whole genome shotgun sequence.